UAAAAGAGCUUCGUAGGCCGGCGUGUCGCGUUUUGCUGUGAAAAGACCCGGGGCUUAACUCCGGUUUUUGCAGUGGAUACGGGCAUGCUAGAGGUAGGUAGGGGAGACUGGAAUUCCCUGGUGUAGCGGUGAAAUGCGCAGAUAUCAGGAGGAACACCGGUGGCGAAGGCGGGUCUCUGGGCCUUACCUGACGCUGAGGAGCGAAAGCAUGGGGAGCGAACAGGAUUAGAUACCCUGGUAGUCCAUGCCGUAAACGUUGGGCGCUAGGUGUGGGGACUUUCCACGGUUUCCGCGCCGUAGCUAACGCAUUAAGCGCCCCGCCUGGGGAGUACGGCCGCAAGGCUAAAACUCAAAGGAAUUGACGGGGGCCCGCACAAGCGGCGGAGCAUGUUGCUUAAUUCGACGCAACGCGAAGAACCUUACCAAGGUUUGACAUCACCCGUGGACUCGCAGAGAUGUGAGGUCAUUUAGUUGGCGGGUGACAGGUGGUGCAUGGCUGUCGUCAGCUCGUGUCGUGAGAUGUUGGGUUAAGUCCCGCAACGAGCGCAACCCUUGUUCCAUGUUGCCAGCACGUAAUGGUGGGGACUCAUGGGAGACUGCCGGGGUCAACUCGGAGGAAGGUGGGGAUGACGUCAAGUCAUCAUGCCCCUUAUGUCUUGGGCUGCAAACAUGCUACAAUGGCCGGUACAAUGGGCGUGCGAUACCGUAAGGUGGAGCGAAUCCCUAAAAGCCGGUCUCAGUUCGGAUUGGGGUCUGCAACUCGACCCCAUGAAGGUGGAGUCGCUAGUAAUCGCGGAUCAGCAACGCCGCGGUGAAUACGUUCCCGGGCCUUGUACACACCGCCCGUCACGUCAUGAAAGUCGGCAACACCCGAAACUUGCGGCCUAACCCCUUGUGGGAGGGAGUGAGUGAAGGUGGGGCUGGCGAUUGGGACGAAGUCG
rnacentral:rRNA from 1 species